rnacentral:rRNA from 1 species
CUUUGCUGGCGACCGGCGCACGGGUGAGUAACACGUAUCCAACCUGCCGAUAACUCGGGGAUAGCCUUUCGAAAGAAAGAUUAAUACCCGAUGGUAUAAUCAGACCGCAUGGUUUGAUUAUUAAAGAAUUUCGGUUAUCGAUGGGGAUGCGUUCCAUUAGGCAGUUGGUGAGGUAACGGCUCACCAAACCUUCGAUGGAUAGGGGUUCUGAGAGGAAGGUCCCCCACAUUGGAACUGAGACACGGUCCAA